AAUGAACGCUGGCGGCAGGCCUAACACAUGCAAGUCGAACGGUAACAUGAAGCAGCUUGCUGCAUCGCUGAGUAGUGGCUGACGGGUGAGUAAUGUCUUGGAAGCUGCCUGAUGGAGGGGGAUAACUACUGGAAACGUUAGCUAGUACCGCAUAAUGUCGCCAGUCCAAAGAGGGGGACCUUCGGUCCUCUGGCCAUCGGAUAUGCCCAGAUGGGAUUGGCUUGUUGGUGGGGUAACGGCUGAACAAGGCGACGAUCCCUAGCUGGUCUGAGAGGAUGACCAGAUACCCGGGAACUGAGACACGGUCCAGACUCCUACGGGAGGAAGCAGUGGGGAAUAUUGCACAAGGGGCGCAAGGCUAAUGCAGCAAUGUCGCGUGUAUGCAGAAGGAGUUAGGGUUGGAAAGUAAUUUAAGCGGGGGGGAAGGAAGUAAAGUUAAUACCGUUGCUCAUUGACGUUACCCGCAGAAGAAGCACCGGCUAACUCCGUG
rnacentral:rRNA from 1 species